rnacentral:rRNA from 1 species
GACGAACGCUGGCGGCGCGCCUAACACAUGCAAGUCGAACGGAGCUGCGAGAAGCUUGCUUUUCUUAGCUUAGUGGCGAACGGGUGAGUAACGCGUGAGUAACCUGCCCUGGAGUGGGGGACAACAGUUGGAAACGACUGCUAAUACCGCAUAAGCCCACGAUCCGGCAUCGGAUUGAGGGAAAAGGAUUUAUUCGCUUCAGGAUGGACUCGCGUCCAAUUAGCUAGUUGGUGAGGUAACGGCCCACCAAGGCGACGAUUGGUAGCCGGACUGAGAGGUGGAACGGCCACAGUGGGACUGAGACACGGCCCAGACUCCUACGGGAGGGAGGAGUGGGGGAUAUUGCACAAUGGGGGAAACCCUGAUGCAGCGACGCGGGGUGGAGGAAGAAGGUUUUCGGAUUGUAAACUCCUGUGGUAAGGGACGAUAAUGACGGUACCUAACAAGAAAGCACCGGCUAACUACGUG